UGCAGCUGUGGUCUGGAGUCCGAAACAAGAAGAGUCUCAUUUAUCAUCCUGCUAAAUAAACUUAAAUAUGUGUACCUAUAAUAUUUUACCAAAUGGGAUUGUAUUGUUUGACAACCUGCUUUUUCUUCCUUAACGUAAAGUGGCCCAUUGCACUAAAUGUGCUUUGAAAUGUUACUUGAAUACUUGUGAGAGGGAGACAAAGACGCUCUCCAGCAUCAGUGACAUGUGGGCUGCAUCCAAAAGGCUGAGUCACAGCCCUCCAGGGAGAGAAAAAGGGAGACCUUGUACUGAAAGAUGUGGAAGCAAGAAAGAACAUUCACUGUUGUGGGAAGCGGAAGGAGGGGAGGAGACAUCUGUCCAUCCUGUGAAAUUCAAGGCAGCGAAUGUGGAACACCCUUUCUGUCCUGCCAUACCCUGGGUGCUGGGAUACAACGACAAGAGAAGAACAAGCAUCAGAACAUGUGUGUGCAACCAAAGACCAUCGCAGCCCCAGACCAUCUGCGCAAGAAGAGCCUGGGCAAGUGCUGGUUGAAGAGGGACGUCUUGAAGGCACGUUUGCACAAAUCACUCUUAAUUGGAUGAAAAAGUGUGCCGAUCCCUGGAGCAGGUCUUCCAAAGCACAGAAGACAACGAUCUUUAAGACAAGAGCGCUGCCUCCUUCCUUUGCAGACCACCACCUCAUCACUUCAAUUUCCUCUAAAGAAAACAAACUGUUUUUCUCAUAUUUCAUGGCUUUGAGGUUUAUUCCAAGCCUUGCCAGUGGCCUCAGGCUCCUCGUUGCCUUAUUUGAAACAAGAGAUAUAGAGCAGCCGAGACAGAUGACGAUGUGGAGAGGGAAGGAGGCGAGACGGGGCCCACGCUCAGACUCCCUAAAUCCACGAGGGAAACUUCCUUCUGUUGGCACCAGUUCAAAACGAUGCGAUGUGGCCUUUUCUAAAGCUUCGCACUAUUUUUAUUGCAGUAAAAUGUUUAUUGUGUUUACAGAGAGAAUUGUUGUCUUAAAACUGAUGUUUACUAUGGUAGGGUUUGACCUGUGCUUGGUGAAGCUAUGUUUUAAAAUAAUACACUCAAGUUUAUGAAGGAAACCUCAACUCUUCCCAAAGAGAGAAACUGAAGGGUUUUUUUGCUGAAAUAAGUAUUUCAUUAGGUUAGAAAAAUUGAUAUAUUUUUGUUAUUUAAUGACUUCAUCACGCUCUGUGAAAUGCAUCACUCCAUUUUAUCUGCUCUUUGUCUGGAAUCACCACAUGCUACUAACUGGCUCCUCUUUAUUCUUUGCUACACUACAGAAAUUCUUUAUCAUUUAACUUUAUCACAGGCAGGCAGAGCCUGGUUCCUAUUAGAGAGAUAAGGACUGUUUCCUUAAUUACUGUACAUAGAAAACAGCAUUUAGUCUGGCAGUUCCCACACUAUUCAAUCAGGCAAGAUUCGAUAUGAAAAAAUACAGCUGAUUUGCCAAAUCAGACAUUUGUUCCACACAAGUCCGUUAUAACUCACGUUAUAAAUGAAACAAGUCAUGGAGGCACUUAUCAGUACUUAUCAGUACGCGCCUGCGAUCACAUUCUGUUUUUCGAAGUUGACGCUCUCAGGAGCGCUUCUUGCUGGAAGUUCUCUCUGACAAUUAUGGAGGGAUCCCCACGCCGGCGUCCACCUGACCGAAGAGAACAAGACAGCCGCGUGGGCCAUUUCAGAAAUCACCACUUUCUAGCUAAUCGCAGUUUCCAAAUUCAACCUACUGGUGCUGCCGAGAGCGAGAAGAACUUCCCUAAUCGGAUCCUGGCCGCAUUGUGACUCACACUGCUGACUGCCCCCCACCCCCCACCCGGUGCCUCCACUCUCCCUCGUGGGGCCGGCACAGCACCUGCCCAAGGACCUCUCCCUGCGUCCUGGGGAUGUGUUGGCAGCACCGUGAUCGAUGAGUUAUUGAGGCCCUUGCUUUUUACCAAAAGAACUUUUUGUGGAAGGCAAAAUUUUUUCCAGGGGAGAAAUGCAGAUGCAGCAUUAUGCAAUUUUGUUAACGAGUUAGGAGGAUGGUGUAAUGCAAAUGGUGGAUAAAACGAGCAAACCGGGGAAAGAGAGCAAGCCGACGACUGGAAUUAAGGUAAAUAGACGCCAAUUCUCGUGGCCUCCAAGCUCCUUCUGAGGAAAGUGCCAGGGCUACUGAGUGCUUUCCAGAAGUUAAAAUGGCAGUCACCCAAUUGUUCUGCCCUUUACUGAGAUGACUAGAAGGAAAUACUUCUAAUCCAACCCAGAAUGUGACUUCUAAAGAAAAAUUGUGUACUGUACAUAUGCCCGUGAUGGCCACAAAGCAUAAAAAUAUUCUGUUUUAUUUUUUACCCUUUCUGAACUGUGAAGACAAUUUUUUGAUCUCUCUCCCCACACCUCCAACAACCCUGCUCCUCUCUGGAUCCUUGUAAUCUCGCCUACGGUAGAGACCUGGGUUCUCACCAAGGCCAUUUCCACACCCGAGAAGACUUACACCUUACAGGCACUUCUCUGUAAUGAGAUGCACAUCCUCUUGAUUCAAGUGCUUUAAGACUGGAAAGUCUCUCCAAGGCAGACUGACACUGAAGAAAGAAGCACCGUGGGUCCCACGGCCACAGGGAGCUGUGUUCCGCCAACAACCUGAG
ensembl:lncRNA